rnacentral:rRNA from 1 species
UAAGCGGAGGAAAAGAAACUAACAAGGAUUCCCCUAGUAACUGCGAGUGAAGCGGGAAAAGCUCAAAUUUAAAAUCUGGUGGUCUUUGGCCAUCCGAGUUGUAAUCUAGAGAAGCNUCUUCCGCGCUGGACCGUGCACAAGUCUCCUGGAACGGAGCGUCGUAGAGGGUGAGAAUCCCGUCUUUGGCAUGGACACACCAGGGCUUUUGUGAUGCGCUCUCGAAGAGUCGAGUUGUUUGGGAAUGCAGCUCAAAAUGGGUGGUGAACUCCAUCUAAAGCUAAAUAUUGGCGAGAGACCGAUAGCGAACAAGUACCGUGAGGGAAAGAUGAAAAGCACUUUGGAAAGAGAGUGAAACAGUACGUGAAAUUGUUGAAAGGGAAACGCUUGAAGUCAGUCGCGUCGACCGAGACUCAGCCUCGCCUCGGCUUGGUGUACUUCUCGGCCCGACGGGUCAGCAUCAAUUUCGCCUCUUGGAUAAUGGCGAGGGAAACGUGACACCUUUACGGUGUGUUAUAGUCUCUCGUCGCAUGCAAGGGUCGGGAUUGAGGAACUCAGCACGCGCCUUUGGGCGUCGGGGCUUUGCCUACGAUACGUGCUUAGGAUGUUGGCGUAAUGGCUUUAAACGACC